UAUUAUAAUUAAUGUAGCAUAAUUAUUAGAGUAGUAGUAGAAUGUUCUUGAAACUUAAAGAAUUUGGCGGUGUUUUAGUCUUUUCAGAGGAAUUUGUUUCUUAAUUGAUAAUACACGAUUUGUUAAACUUGAUUUAGUUAUCAGCUUGUAUACCGCCGUCAUAAGAUUAUUUUUGUUUUGAGGAUAAAAUUUUCUUGUAUUUAUAAUAAAAUUUAUGUCAGGUCAAGGUGCAGUUUAUAAUUAAGAUGAAAAUGAAUUACAAUAAUUUUAGUUAUUACGAAUAAUUAUAAUAAGUUUAGUUUGAAGGUGGAUUUGAUUGUAAAUUUAUUUUUGAUUUUUUUGUUGAUUUGGGCUCUAAAAUGUGUACAUAUCGCCCGUCGCUCUCGUAUUUUUGAAUGAG
rnacentral:rRNA from 1 species